CAGCAGCCGCGGUAAUACGUAGGGGGCGAGCGUUGUCCGGAUUUAUUGGGCGUAAAGGGUACGUAGGCGGCUAUGCAAGUCAGAUGUGAAAGAUCACGGCUUAACCGUGGUAAGCAUUUGAAACUGCGUAGCUUGAGUUAAGGAGAGGAAAGUGGAAUUCCUGGUGUAGCGGUGAAAUGCGUAGAUAUCAGGAGGAAUACCAGUGGCGAAGGCGACUUUCUGGACUUAUACUGACGCUGAGGUACGAAAGCGUGGGGAGCAAACAGGAUUAGAUACCCUGGUAGUCCACGCCGUAAACGAUGAGUGCUAGGUGUCGGGUGUCAAAGCUCGGUGCCGCAGUUAACACAUUAAGCACUCCGCCUGGGGAGUACGUUCGCAAGAAUGAAACUCAAAGGAAUUGAC
rnacentral:rRNA from 2 species